UUAAAUAAUCCUACCUCCGCCCCUGUCUGUAUAGGAAAUGCUGAUGCCGAGGUCUCAUGCUAUUCUCGUUGCUAUCUCUUCUCUGAUGGAAUGGAUCCUGAUCAAUGCUGAGUUGCCAUGCAUUCCAGUACAGGACAAUGUUUUCGGGGCUUUUUUCUAGCCAAGAGCGGAGAUUCCUUGGACAAUGUACGUACCCUCCAAGUUAGGAGGAAUAAUUCAAAUAUCUGCCAUGAGCUGGUUGAGGAGCGGUGGCUUAGGAAAAAGAGGUGUUUUCACUGCUGUAUACAUUACACCUUUCUUGCCUGGUUACUCUCAUCUAGCUCCUAUUGCAAGCCUACCUGACGUAGAUGUAAAGGAAUAUCUGAUAAGCUAGCCCAUUUUCACCAAUUAAGAAGAUGCAGAAAUUGCAGUGCAUGUCGUCAUGGAUGUGGAUCGAGCCUUGGAGUCGACAAGCCACUGGCAGAGGGAACAUAUAUGGACCCAAUCGGGGCAUCAUCUGCAACCCAGAAGAAUACACGUACGUAUGAUGGACAUUACAUUACAUUGUAUUAGUGCAAGAUUUGCUCUAUUUAAUAAUUGCGAAGCCUUGUCAAUGGCUUCUUGGGAUCCACACGUUCUUGUCUCCAGGACAGCAUGCACUGCCAUGUACCUUUCAAGCAGGCUUCGUAGCUAGGAAUCCUAUGUUCAUCUUCACAUCUCCUACGUUCAUCUUUUGCUAGGAGAUUAAUUAAUUUUAACCCUAGCCAGUUGAGAUCAGAGAGCUUGAAUCUUAUUGGUUUUAUUUAAAAUUUAUCGGGAAAUUCUUGAGUCA